rnacentral:rRNA from 1 species
CCCUUAGAUGUUCUGGGCCGCACGCGCGCUACACUGAUGCGUUCAACAAGUUUCCUUGGCCGAGAGGCCUGGGCAAUCUUCUUAAUAUGUAUCGUGAUAGGGAUAGAUUAUUGCAAUUAUUAAUCUUGAACGAGGAAUUCCUAGUAAACGCAGAUCAUCAAUCUGCAUUGAUUACGUCCCUGCCCUUUGUACACACCGCCCGUCGCACCUACCGAUUGGAUGUUCCGGUGAAGCCUCGGGAUGAGGACUGGUGCCUUUAUUGGCAUGAGUUGUUCAGAACUUGUCUAAACCUUAUCAUCUAGAGGAAGGUGAGGUCGUAACA